GAGAGCCUGGCUAGGCAGGCUGGAAACAGUAGCUCUUAACGGUCCCCCGCCCGUUGGUGGCAAGGCGGCUGGACUGGAAUCCCAGCAGGCGACAUGCGAGGAGGCGGGCAGCCCAGGAGGGUUGGACACGGCAAUGUGGACCUCGCCGCUUCCACAACGAUGCUGGCUACUGAUCGCGUGCACUUCCUUGCCAAAGAAAAUUUGUGCUGUGCACUAACAUGCAAUACAAAUACUGAUGAAAAUAAAACUAUUGCCCUCCUACCAAAUGAGAAAUUAAUGUUAUGACUGGAUGAAGACAAUUGUGAAGAAACUGCACUUUGAGGUUGUCUAUCUCUGUAUUCUGAUGGAAAAGCGUGGAGUUUAGAAGCACUGCUCACUCCUUCAGUUUCUAACAACAUUUUGAAUAUAUGGUCUCCAAG
rnacentral:lncRNA from 10 species